AGAAGCGCUCGCGGGUCCCACGUUCAGGACCGCACCCCCAGCGCCUCCCCGGACCUAGGCAAGCACUCGCCCUUGGCAUUGCUGGCCGCCACCUGUAGCCGCAUCGGCCAGCCGGGCGCGACGGCGCCCCCGGACUUCCUGCAGGUGCCCUACGACCCCGCGCUGGGCUCACCCUCCAGGCUCUUCCACCCGUGGACCGCCGACAUGCCGGCGCACUCGCCAGGCGCACUGCCGCCCCCGCACCCCAGCCUGGGGCU
rnacentral:sRNA from 1 species